rnacentral:rRNA from 1 species
GAGUUUGAUCCUGGCUCAGAAUCAACGCUGGCGGCGUGCCUCAGACAUGCAAGUCGAACGAUUAAAGCUCCCUUCGGGGAGUGCAUAGAGUGGCGCACGGGUGAGUAACACGUAAGUAAUCUACCCUCGGGUGGGGAAUAACAACCGGAAACGGUUGCUAAUACCGCAUAAUGCAGCGGCACCGCAAGGUGACAGUUGUUAAAGGAGCAAUCCGCCUGGGGAGGAGCUUGCGGCAGAUUAGCUUGUUGGUAAGGUAACGGCUUACCAAGGCUACGAUCUGUAUCCGGUCUAAGAGGACGGUCGGACACACUGACACUGAAUAACGGGUCAGACUCCUACGGGAGGCAGCAGUCGGGAAUUUUGGGCAAUGGGGGAAACCCUGACCCAGCAACGCCGCGUGAAGGAUGAAGUAUUUCGGUAUGUAAACUUCGAAAGAAUGGGAAGAAUUAAUGACGGUACCAUUUAUAAGCUCCGGCUAACUACGUGCCAGCAGCCGCGGUAAUACGUAGGGAGCAAGCGUUGUUCGGAUUUACUGGGCGUAAAGGGCGCGUAGGCGGCGCGGUAAGUCACUUGUGAAAUCUCUGAGCUUAACUCAGAACGGCCAAGUGAUACUGCAGUGCUAGAGUGUGGAAGGGGCAAUCGGAAUUCUUGGUGUAGCGGUGAAAUGCGUAGAUAUCAAGAGGAACACCUGAGGUGAAGACGGGUUGCUGGGCCAACACUGACGCUGAGGCGCGAAAGCCAGGGGAGCAAACGGGAUUAGAUACCCCGGUAGUCCUGGCCCUAAACGAUGAAUACUUGGU